UACGUAGGGUGCGAGCGUUAAUCGGAAUUACUGGGCGUAAAGCGUGCGCAGGCUGUUCUGUAAGUCAGAUGUGAAAUCCCCGAGCUCAACUUGGGAACUGCGUUUGAAACUACAGGACUAGAAUAUGUCAGAGGGGGGUAGAAUUCCACGUGUAGCAGUGAAAUGCGUAGAGAUGUGGAGGAAUACCAAUGGGCGAAGGCAGCCCCCUGGGAUAAUGAUU
rnacentral:rRNA from 1 species